UACAGAGGGGGCAAGCGUUGUUCGGAAUUACUGGGCGUGAAGGGCGCGUAGGCGGCCUUCUAAGUCGAACGUGAAAUCCCCGGGCUCAACCCGGGAACUGCGUCCGAUACUGGAAGGCUUGAAUCCGGGAGAGGGAUGCGGAAUUCCAGGUGUAGCGGUGAAAUGCGUAGAUAUCUGGAGGAACACCGGUGGCGAAGGCGGCAUCCUGGACCGGUAUUGACGCUGAGGCGCGAAAGCCAGGGGAGCAAACGGG
rnacentral:rRNA from 1 species